UCUUUAAAAAAUAAAUAAAUAAAUAAANAUAUAUGAGCCAUGUGAGCAUAUUAGUUGAAAAAUUAGAACUUGGUUGGUUGUGAACCUAUAAUAAUUAAUUUGGUGUUAAGUCUAUUUUUGCCUAUAUUUGGAAGUUUGGAAAAAAACAGAUUUGAACUGAGGAGUUAGACAGGCUCUUUUAGGAAAUGAACUUUUCUUCCCUCUCAUUUUUUUUUCUUAGCCAUCUGUUCUUUUUGCUCUUUCUCUUAGGUGAUAACAUUUCUGGUUUACUUAAUAGGUCCGAGGAAUAAGGAGAGAGCUCCUUUUACUGGUGGUAUUAAAAGUGGGCUCAGAUCCAAUCCAAGGCACAGACUUUAUCAUCUAACCCUUACCAGAAAGUCUAAUUUCUCUUAUAACUUACUGAUAAAUAAGUUCAUCAUCUAGUACAGAGGUCAACUUUAGUUUUCAUAUUUGCCUAAUACAUGCAGGUAUGCGACUCAAGGAAGGCUGUAAUAUAAAUAGAAGUUUAUUUAUUUUGGGACAAGUGAUCAAGAAACUUAGUGAUGGACAAGUUGGUGGUUUCAUAAAUUAUCGAGAUAGUAAAUUAACAUGAAUUCUCCAGAAUUCCUUGGGAGGAAAUGCAAAGACACGUAUUAUCUGCACAAUUACUCCAGUGUCCUUUGAUGAAACCCUUACUACUCUAUAGGUGAGUUUGAUUUUGAUUUCAAUAUGGGGGAAAAUCAUCUAUAAGAAAAAAUUACCCACUAUAAUUAGGUAUCUUCUUUUUAAUGACAUAACAUACCUGCCGCAAUAAAACUGAUGCAUUGCCUACUAAAUAGUAUUCCUUUAUUUUCCCAAAUUUCAAUCAUUUAUAUCCCACCUCCAAAUUUUUGCCACAUCCAACAAUAUUAUACUAUUUUUCUUUAAAAAAAAUUUUUCACUUUUUCUACUUAUUGUAGAAGAAAACUUUGUCUCAUUCCCAUGAAUGAAAAACUAAUAUGACUUUUCAACAAAUAGGUGUGUGUGUUUAUAAC